UGUGAACUCGAAGAGUAGGGCGGGACACGUGGUAUCCUGUCUGAAUAUGGGGGGACCAUCCUCCAAGGCUAAAUACUCCUGACUGACCGAUAGUGAACCAGUACCGUGAGGGAAAGGCGAAAAGAACCCCGGCGAGGGGAGUGAAAAAGAACCUGAAACCGUGUACGUACAAGCAGUGGGAGCCUCUUUAUGGGGUGACUGCGUACCUUUUGUAUAAUGGGUCAGCGACUUAUAUUCUGUAGCAAGGUUAACCGUAUAGGGGAGCCGAAGGGAAACCGAGUCUUAACUGGGCGUUAAGUUGCAGGGUAUAGACCCGAAACCCGGUGAUCUAGCCAUGGGCAGGUUGAAGGUUGGGUAACACUAACUGGAGGACCGAACCGACUAAUGUUGAAAAAUUAGCGGAUGACCUGUGGCUGGGGGUGAAAGGCCAAUCAAACCGGGAGAUAGCUGGUUCUCCCCGAAAGCUAUUUAGGUAGCGCCUCGUGAACUCAUCUUCGGGGGUAGAGCACUGUUUCGGCUAGGGGGCCAUCCCGGCUUACCAACCCGAUGCAAACUACGAAUACCGAAGAAUGUUAUCACGGGAGACACACGGCGGGUGCUAACGUCCGUCGUGAAGAGGGAAACAACCCAGACCGCCAGCUAAGGUCCCAAAGUCAUGGUUAAGUGGGAAACGAUGUGGGAAGGCACAGACAGCCAGGAUGUUGGCUUAGAAGCAGCCAUCAUUUAAAGAAAGCGUAAUAGCUCACUGGUCGAGUCGGCCUGCGCGGAAGAUGUAACGGGGCUAAACCAUGCACCGAAGCUGCGGCAGCGAC
rnacentral:rRNA from 1 species